rnacentral:rRNA from 1 species
AAUAUUGCGCAAUGGACGGAAGUCUGACGCAGCGACGCCGCGUGAGCGAUGAAGGUCUUCGGAUCGUAAAGCUCUGUCCUAAGGGAAGAAACGGACGGUACCUUAGGAGGAAGCCCCGGCUAACUACGUGCCAGCAGCCGCGGUAAUACGUAGGGGGCGAGCGUUAUCCGGAAUUAUUGGGCGUAAAGGGUGCGUAGGCGGCUUUUUAAGUCAGAUGUGAAAGGCUACGGCUUAACCGUAGUUAGCAUUUGAAACUAAAAGGCUUGAGUGCAGGAGAGGAGAGUGGAAUUCCUAGUGUAGCGGUGAAAUGCGUAGAUAUUAGGAGGAACACCAGUGGCGAAGGCGACUCUCUGGACUGCAACUGGCGCUGAGGCACGAAAGCGUGGGGAGCGAAC